CUUGCUCCACCGGAAAAAGAAGAGUGGCGAACGGGUGAGUAACACGUGGGUAACCUGCCCAUCAGAAGGGGAUAACACUUGGAAACAGGUGCUAAUACCGUAUAACAAUCGAAACCGCAUGGUUUUGAUUUGAAAGGCGCUUUCGGGUGUCGCUGAUGGAUGGACCCGCGGUGCAUUAGCUAGUUGGUGAGGUAACGGCUCACCAAGGCCACGAUGCAUAGCCGACCUGAGAGGGUGAUCGGCCACAUUGGGACUGAGACACGGCCCAAACUCCUACGGGAGGCAGCAGUAGGGAAUCUUCGGCAAUGGACGAAAGUCUGACCGAGCAACGCCGCGUGAGUGAAGAAGGUUUUCGGAUCGUAAAACUCUGUUGUUAGAGAAGAACAAGGAUGAGAGUAACUGUUCAUCCCUUGACGGUAUCUAACCAGAAAGCCACGGCUAACUACGUGCCAGCAGCCGCGGUAAUACGU
rnacentral:rRNA from 1 species